UACGAAGGGGGCUAGCGUUGCUCGGAAUUACUGGGCGUAAAGGGAGCGUAGGCGGAUAGUUUAGUCAGAGGUGAAAGCCCAGGGCUCAACCUUGGAAUUGCCUUUGAUACUGGCUAUCUUGAGUACGGAAGAGGUAUGUGGAACUCCGAGUGUAGAGGUGAAAUUCGUAGAUAUUCGGAAGAACACCAGUGGCGAAGGCGACAUACUGGUCCGUUACUGACGCUGAGGCUCGGAAAGCGAUGGGGAGCAAACUACGGGGA
rnacentral:rRNA from 1 species